UACGGGGGGGGCAAGCGUUGUUCGGAAUUACUGGGCGUAAAGGGCUCGUAGGCGGCCAACUAAGUCAUACGUGAAAUCCCUCAGCUUAACUGGGGAACUGCGUGUGAUACUGGAUGGCUUGGAUUUGGGAGAGGGAUGCGGAAUUCCAGGUGUAGCGGUGAAAUGCGUAGAUAUCUGGAGGAACACCGGUGGCGAAGGCGGCAUCCUGGACCAAUAUUGACGCUGAGGAGCGAAAGCUAGGGGAGCAAACGGGG
rnacentral:rRNA from 1 species